AGGACGAACGCUGGCGGCGUGCCUAACACAUGCAAGUCGAGCGAGGAGAUCCUUCGGGAUGAUCCUAGCGGCGGACGGGUGAGUAACACGUGGGCAACCUGCCUCAUAGAGAGGAAUAGCCUUCCGAAAGGGAGAUUAAUACCUCAUAACAUUGCAGUUUCGCAUGGAACAGCAAUUAAAGGAGUAAUCCGCUAUGAGAUGGGCCCGCGGCGCAUUAGCUAGUUGGUGAGGUAACGGCUCACCAAGGCGACGAUGCGUAGCCGACCUGAGAGGGUGAUCGGCCACAUUGGGACUGAGACACGGCCCAGACUCCUACGGGAGGCAGCAGUGGGGAAUAUUGCACAAUGGGGGAAACCCUGAUGCAGCAACGCCGCGUGAGUGAUGACGGCCUUCGGGUUGUAAAGCUCUGUCUUCAGGGACGAUAAUGACGGUACCUGAGGAGGAAGCCACGGCUAACUACGUGCCAGCAGCAGC
rnacentral:rRNA from 1 species